rnacentral:rRNA from 1 species
UACGUAGGGGGCAAGCGUUGUCCGGAAUCAUUGGGCGUAAAGCGCGCGUAGGCGGCCCGGUAAGUCCGCUCUGAAAAGCCCGGGGCUCAACCCCGGGAGGCGGGCGGAUACUGUCGGGCUAGAGUCCGGAAGAGGCGAGUGGAAUUCCUGGUGUAGCGGUGAAAUGCGCAGAUAUCAGGAGGAACACCAAUGGCGAAGGCAGCUCGCUGGGACGGUACUGACGCUGAGACGCGAAAGCGUGGGGAGCAAACAGG